CAAAUUAUAGUUUAUAAAAAUAUUAAUUUUGGAGAUUAAAGAAAUAAAAUUUAUUAUUAAUUUGA
rnacentral:tRNA from 1 species